UACGGAGGGUGCGAGCGUUGUCCGGAAUCACUGGGCGUAAAGGGUGCGCAGGCGGCCGUGUGUGUGAGGCGUGAAAGCCCGGAGCUCAACUCCGGAAUUGCACCUCAAACUACACGGCUAGAGCAUUGGAGAGGGUAGCGGAAUUCACGGUGUAGCAGUGAAAUGCGUAGAUAUCGUGAGGAACACCAGAGGCGAAGGCGGCUACCUGGACAAUUGCUGACGCUCAGGCACGAAAGCGUGGGGAGCAAAAGGG
rnacentral:rRNA from 1 species